UACAGAGGGGGGGCAAGCGUUUGUUCGGAAUUACUGGGCGUAAAGGGCGCGUAGGCGGCCCUGUUAAGUCGAACGUGAAAUCCCCGGGCUCAACCCUGGGGAACUGCGUUUGUGACUGUAUGACUAGAGUACGGGUAGAGAGGGGUGGAAUUCCCUGGUGUAGCAGUGAAAUGCGUAGAUAUCAGGAGGAACAUCGAUGGCGAAGGCAGCCCCUUGGACCUGUACUGCGCUCA
rnacentral:rRNA from 1 species